GGUUUUUGUGGAACAGCUCCUGUGAAUUAUAUAAGACCAUGAGUUGUCCCACAAAGAACAC
rnacentral:pre_miRNA from 1 species